rnacentral:misc_RNA from 1 species
GCUGUCCCUGUUUAUGCACAAAAUUUUUUUCAAUUUAGUGCAUGUAUCAAAUACAAAUAUGAACACUGUUUGGAAAAGCAAACAAGAGAGGAAAAAUUGCGGAGGUAAAGAAAAAGGAAAAAAGUUUUAGAAGGCAAAGUCAUGUUUCUCCCUUUUGUCUGGAUGGGAGGAAACUAGAAGGGGGGAAAAAUGUAGUUAUCUCUUGUUAAAUUUAAGGAACUAGCGGGAAAGAAAAUCAAAAUUCUCCUUUUUUAGCACUAACAUUAUUCCACUCAUGAAGUUAACAUUGCAAGAACAAUUAAGGAAUUUACAUCAAAAGAAGCCCUUUCCUCUCUCAUAAACUCCAAA